rnacentral:rRNA from 1 species
GACGAACGCUGGCGGCGUGCCUAAUACAUGCAAGUAGAACGCACAGUUUAUACCGUAGCUUGCUCCACCAUAGACUGCGAGUUGCGAACGGGUGAGUAACGCGUAGGUAACCUGCCUGGUAGCGGGGGAUAACUAUUGGAAACGAUAGCUAAUACCGCAUAAUAUUAAUUAUUGCAUGAUAAUUAAUUGAAAGGUGCAAUUGCACCACUACCAGAUGGACCUGCGUUGUAUUAGCUAGUAGGUGAGGUAACGGCUCACCUAGGCGACGAUACAUAGCCGACCUGAGAGGGUGAUCGGCCACACUGGGACUGAGACACGGCCCAGACUCCUACGGGAGGCAGCAGUAGGGAAUCUUCGGCAAUGGACGAAAGUCUGACCGAGCAACGCCGCGUGAGUGAAGAAGGUUUUCGGAUCGUAAAGCUCUGUUGUAAGAGAAGAACGGGUGUGAGAGUGGAAAGUUCACACUGUGACGGUAUCUUACCAGAAAGGGACGGCUAACUACGUG